rnacentral:rRNA from 1 species
UGCUCUCUGAGUGCGGAUGCGAGGAUUGCCCUUCAACUCGGAGGUGUCUCUCCUCGAAUUUCCAGGCUCUACGUCUUUUUACACACCCCAAAAGCAUGAUAUAGAAUGUAGUCAAUGGGCUUGAUCGCCUAUAAAACACUAUACAACUUUCAGCAACGGAUCUCUUGGCUCUCGCAUCGAUGAAGAACGCAGCGAAAUGCGAUAAGUAAUGUGAAUUGCAGAAUUCAGUGAAUCAUCGAAUCUUUGAACGCACCUUGCGCUCCUUGGUAUUCCGAGGAGCAUGCCUGUUUGAGUGUCAUUAAAUUCUCAACCUCACCCGUUUUCUGAACGGUUCUCCGAGGCUUGGAUGUGGGGGUUUGUGCAGGCUGCCUCAGCGCGGUCCGCUCCCCUGAAAUGCAUUAGCGAGUUCGUACUGAGCUCCGUCUAUUGGUGUGAUAAUUAUCUACGCCGUGGACAGGGUUUAGACUCGCUUCUAACCGUCCGCAAGGACAAUACCUUUGACAAUUUGACCUCAAAUCAGGUAGGACUACCCGCUGAACUUAAGCAUAUC